AUCGAGCGAAAUUGAGACGAGAGCGCGGCAAAUGUCCCGCCGCUCUAAAGCCACAAGGAGCUUUGUGUUUUGUUUUGCGGUCACGGGACUGCCCUAGAGGCCUCCGGGAGAAGCGGAGGCGAAAGACGACCGACCGAGGGGGGCACUAGGCAGCAGCAGGUAAAACACGUACAGAACUCACUACACGAAGCCCUACCCCCAUAGUUUCUUCGCUUGGCACAACUUGGCUCGACAGGCGGAGCCAAGCCAACCAGCUUUUGCGCGCACGCCGCCUGCAGCCGGGGGAGCUCCCAGACUGGCGUCGGAGCCGCUCCCGUCCUGCGCACCUUGGCGCAGCGCCUGCCUGGUUUCCGAGGCCACGCGGCUUGCCCGACUGAGUUUGGGCGGGGCCGCGGUGAGAGGUCUCGUUGCCUUUAACCAAAGGAGAGGGCAGGACACAGCGUUAAGAAGGGGCGGGCCGAGGGAAUAGUUAUAAUAGGGUGUAUGAGAGACCUAGAUCGAAAAAUAUCUCGGAAGAAAGCAGUGGGGGGCAGCGAAACACUUCUGCAACUGUCUGGUCAGCUUGACUGUCUGAGGCACCCUUUUUUUAUUGCUUAAUCCUGCUUAGCUUCCAACAGCUGAUUUUCUCGCCUGGCCCAGCCACCUCCUUUCGUGGAGCUCAGCUCAACCUAAGAUGGCCAAAACAUGUCUCCAAUUUGUGUGCUGGCUCCGUUAAUGCACCCACCCGUCAUUCUUUGCCUUCCUUGCCGGCGUGGCGCUUAUAUUCGGAAACAAUCCCCUCGGUGCCAGUGGGAAUCCUGUACCCUUUCGAGCGCCGUCUGUUUUAUUUAGAGGUUUCAGUGCGUAACUGAAGGGCUCUCAGCUACGCUAAGAGGGCCGGUUAGGCAAGGCGUUCUUGCGCCUAUAAAAUAAAUGCGCCGCGAAACAAACCGCCUUCACUGAACUAACCCUGCUUGACUAAUAGGGCCGAACAUUAUAACGCUCCCUUUGGGCAGAAGCUGCUGAACUCGAGUCCCCCGGCUGGAAUAAGCCCCCCGCGAUACUUGACAGAGUCUCGAGGAAACGUCGGGCCAGGCAGCGACCUCGUUCCCACGUCAGCCCCACCCAGCUCUGCAACAGCUGAGCUUUUCCUCUCGCCUGACGAACAGCUGUUUCUUUCUCUUCUUGCCCUGGCCCCCUUUGGUGAAAUGCGGUUUGUGGAGAAGGGGCCAUGCGAGGCAACCGGGAAAGACGGACCCAAACGCGGGCGAACGUUUCUGAAAGGAUUGCCUGCCACGACACGAUUCUUCGGUUUUUCUUCUCAUCCUCACUUCUCAGCUAUCGUGGCUGAACAUCUGGUGGGAAAAUAAAAGAAUAUUCUAUGACUCUUUCCAAGAUGAAAUUUAUGUAAGAAGUGUGCAAAUAAAUAAGUAAUGCAAUACCUCCUUAAAUUAGGA
rnacentral:lncRNA from 1 species